AUUGAACGCUGGCGGCAUGCUUUACACAUGCAAGUCGAACGGCAGCUCGGGCUUCGGCCUGGCGGCGAGUGGCGAACGGGUGAGUAAUUCAUCGGAACGUGCCCAGUCGUGGGGGAUAGCUCGGCGAAAGCCGGAUUAAUUCCGCAUACGACCUGAGGGUGAAAGCGGGGGAUCUUCGGACCUCGCGCUAUUGGAGCGGCCGAUGGCAGAUUAGCUAGUUGGUGGGGUAAAGGCCUACCAAGGCGACGAUCUGUAGCGGGUCUGAGAGGACGACCAGCCACACUGGCACUGAGACACGGCCCAGACUCCUACGGUAGGCAACAGUGGGGAAUUUUGGACAAUGGGCGAAAGCCUGAUCCAGCAAUGCCGCGUGUGUGAUGAAGGCCUUCGGGUUGUAAAGCACUUUUGGCGGGAACGAAAAGGACUGUGCCAAUACCACGGUACGAUGACGGUACCCUAAGAAUAAGCACCGGCUAACUACGUG
rnacentral:rRNA from 1 species